rnacentral:rRNA from 1 species
GACGAACGCUGGCGGCGUGCUUAACACAUGCAAGUCGAACGGAAAGGCCCUGCUUUUGUGGGGUGCUCGAGUGGCGAACGGGUGAGUAACACGUGAGUAACCUGCCCUUGACUUUGGGAUAACUUCAGGAAACUGGGGCUACUACCGGAUAGGAGCUCCUGCUGCAUGGUGGGGGUUGGAAAGUUUCGGCGGUUGGGGAUGGACUCGCGGCUUAUCAGCUUGUUGGUGGGGUAGUGGCUUACCAAGGCUUUGACGGGUAGCCGGCCUGAGAGGGUGACCGGCCACAUUGGGACUGAGAUACGGCCCAGACGCCUACGGGAGGCAGCAGUGGGGAAUAUUGCACAAUGGGCGGAAGCCUGAUGCAGCAACGCCGCGUGCGGGAUGACGGCCUUCGGGUUGUAAACCGCUUUCGCCUGUGACGAAGCGUGAGUGACGGUAAUGGGUAAAGAAGCACCGGCUAACUACGUG